GGCUUGUCCACAGGUAGUGAGUUAUUUCAUGUGACUGUUCACAGUGAGUUAAAGAUUGAACGCCUUGUUCUACUCUUUCCUCUGUCUCACUACUGCCUAGCCUUUA
rnacentral:sRNA from 1 species